GAGGUUCAUGAAAGGAAAAAAGCUUCUAACUUCUAUUCCAAGCGGUUAAAUUCCGUUUAAACCUCU
rnacentral:tRNA from 1 species